rnacentral:rRNA from 1 species
AUUGAACGCUGGCGGCAUGCCUUACACAUGCAAGUCGAACGGCAGCACGGGAGCUUGCUCCUGGUGGCGAGUGGCGAACGGGUGAGUAAUGCAUCGGAACGUGCCCUGAAGUGGGGGAUAACGUAGCGAAAGUUACGCUAAUACCGCAUAUUCUGUGAGCAGGAAAGCAGGGGGAUCUUCGGACCUUGCGCUUUUGGAGCGGCCGAUGUCGGAUUAGCUAGUUGGUGGGUAAAGGCCCACCAAGGCGACGAUCCGUAGCGGGUCUGAGAGGAUGAUCCGCCACACUGGAACUGAGACACGGUCCAGACUCCUACGGGAGGCAGCAGUGGGGAAUUUUGGACAAUGGGCGCAAGCCUGAUCCAGCCAUGCCGCGUGAGUGAAGAAGGCC